rnacentral:rRNA from 1 species
UGGGGAAUAUUGCACAAUGGGCGCAAGCCUGAUGCAGCCAUGCCGCGUGUGUGAAGAAGGCCUUCGGGUUGUAAAGCACUUUCAGCGAGGAGGAAGGCAUAAAGGUUAAUAACCUUUGUGAUUGACGUUACUCGCAGAAGAAGCACCGGCUAACUCCGUGCCAGCAGCCGCGGUAAUACGGAGGGUGCAAGCGUUAAUCGGAAUUACUGGGCGUAAAGCGCACGCAGGCGGUAUGUUAAGUCAGAUGUGAAAUCCCCGCGCUUAACGUGGGAACUGCAUUUGAAACUGGCAAGCUAGAGUCUUGUAGAGGGGGGUAGAAUUCCAGGUGUAGCGGUGAAAUGCGUAGAGAUCUGGAGGAAUACCGGUGGCGAAGGCGGCCCCCUGGACAAAGACUGACGCUCAGGUGCGAAAGCGUGGGGAGCAAACA